rnacentral:snRNA from 1 species
AUGUAGGCAAGGGAAGUC